UGGGGAAUAUUGGACAAUGGGCGCAAGCCUGAUCCAGCCAUGCCGCGUGUGUGAAGAAGGCCUUUUGGUUGUAAAGCACUUUAAGCGAGGAGGAGGCUACUUGGAUUAAUACUCUAGGAUAGUGGACGUUACUCGCAGAAUAAGCACCGGCUAACUCUGUGCCAGCAGCCGCGGUAAUACAGAGGGUGCGAGCGUUAAUCGGAUUUACUGGGCGUAAAGCGUGCGUAGGCGGCUUCUUAAGUCGGAUGUGAAAUCCCUGAGCUUAACUUAGGAAUUGCAUUCGAUACUGGGAAGCUAGAGUAUGGGAGAGGAUGGUAGAAUUCCAGGUGUAGCGGUGAAAUGCGUAGAGAUCUGGAGGAAUACCGAUGGCGAAGGCAGCCAUCUGGCCUAAUACUGACGCUGAGGUACGAAGGCAUGGGGAGCAAACAGG
rnacentral:rRNA from 1 species